UACAUUUCCCAUUAUUCAUUACUGAUAUGAGGCAGACAAAGCACUUACUCAUCAAACCAAAGGCUAAUUACAGCUCAGCAGUGUAAAGGGUGUAACAGUAUGACGUUAACUGUUUGUGUUUCGCUGUUGUGAAAUAUUCCUAAUAAAUGGAUUGGCCAUGUAAGCCACUUAGAACUAUAUUCUAAGUGAUGGCUUACCUGGCCAUGGCAGGUGUUUGUAAAGAGAUAUAUGUCUGUAUGUAUACAUUUCGUGUUCCACACAUUUCGACAGCCA